AUAUUGUACAAUGGGGGCAACCCUGCCCCAGCCAUGCCGCGGGUGUGAAGAAGGUCUUCGGUUUGNAAAGCACUUUAAGUGGGGAGNAAGGGCUUUAGGUUAGUACACUGAAGUUUUGGCGUUACCAACAGAAUAAGCACCGGCUAACUCUGUGCCUGCAGCCGCGGUAAUACAGAGGGUGCAAGCGUUAAUCGGAAUUACUGGGCGUAAAGCGCGCGUAGGUGGUUCAGUAAGAUGGGUUGGAAAUUCCCGGGCUUAACCUGGGAACUGCUUUCAAAACUGCUGAGCUAGAGUACGGUGAAGGGUAGUGGAAUUUCCUGUGUAGCGGUGAAAUGCGUAGAUAUAGGAAGGAACACCAGUGGCGAAGGCGACUACCUGGGCUGAUACUGACACUGAGGUGCGAAAGCGUGGGGAGCAAACA
rnacentral:rRNA from 1 species